AGGAGGGCCGCCAUGGCUUCAGCAGACGAUACCCAGGGAUGCCAGCGGGCGCAGCAGAAAGGCGCAUGGCUGGGGGCAGGCGCAGGGCUGGCAGCAGUGUGGGACCCUGAGGAGGAGGAUCCCGGAGUUUGACUGCCCAGAUGUCCGCUGAACACCGGCCUCUUGCGAGGCACUUACGCCGUCUGUCCAGCCAAGCCCGCACCUUGCCCUGCAGCAGAGGGACUGCCACCCUCAUUCUGCAGAUUUCCAAUAACACAGUCAAGUUGCUUAAAUGAUCCUGCACCCAGGUCCUCACCGUGGGCUCUGCUGUUCCGAAUAUGAAGACGAAGCCAGACUUGGAGAACAGGGCCUUGAGGGUUUGUGUCUCUCGUUCCCAGAUUUCCAAUAACACAGUCAAGUUGCUUAAAUGAUAAGACAUUUUUGGGGGGAGAAAAAUUAAUGUUUUAUUUCUGUUUACAGUGAUAUAAUAUACUACUUAGUAUAAAUUAUAAAUAACUUAUGAGAAAAGAGAAGACAUCCCUUAUAUCCAGAAAAUAAAACAUUAAAGAUCUAUUGUUUUAGUCACUCUUUGUGAUCCCAUGGCCUGUGGCCCACCAGGCUCCAAACAACGCAAUGUUUAAAUGGGCUUCCCUUGUGGCUGAGCUGGUAAAGAAUCUGUCUGCAAUGCUGAAGCCUGGGUUCGAUCCCUGGGUCGGGAAGAUCCCCUGGAGAAAGGAAAGGCUACCCACUCUGGUAUUCUGGCCUGGAGAAUUCCGUGGACUGUAUAGUCCAUGGGGUCGUAGAGAGUCGGACACGACUGAGCACAGCUCAGCUGUAAAGAAAGCUGAGCAUCAAAGAACUGAUGCUUUUGAACUGUGGUGUUGGAGAAGACUCUUGAGAAUCCCUUGGACUGCAAGGAGAUCCAACCAGUCAAUCCUAAAGGAAAUUAGUCCUGGGUGUUCAUUGGAAGAACUGAUGCUAAAGCUGAAACUCCAGUAUUUUGGCCACCUGGUGCGAAAAGCUGACUCAUUGGAAAAGACCCUGAUGCUGGGAAAGACUGAAGGCAGGAGGAGAAGGGGAUGACAGAGG
ensembl:lncRNA